CCUACGGGAGGCAGCAGUGGGGAAUAUUGCACAAUGGGGGAAACCCUGAUGCAGCAACGCCGCGUGAAGGAUGACGGUUUUCGGAUUGUAAACUUCUUUUCUUAGUGACGAAGACAGUGACGGUAGCUAAGGAAUAAGCAUCGGCUAACUACGUGCCAGCAGCCGCGGUAAUACGUAGGAUGCAAGCGUUAUCCGGAUUUACUGGGUGUAAAGGGAGCGCAGGCGGGACUGCAAGUUGGAUGUGAAAUACCGUGGCUUAACCACGGAACUGCAUCCAAAACUGUAGUUCUUGAGUGAAGUAGAGGCAAGCGGAAUUCCGAGUGUAGCGGUGAAAUGCGUAGAUAUUCGGAGGAACACCAGUGGCGAAGGCGGCUUGCUGGGCUUUAACUGACGCUGAGGCUCGAAAGUGUGGGGAGCAAACAGGAUUAGAUACCCUGGUAGUCCACACUGUAAACGAUGAAUACUAGGUGUGCGGGGACUGACCCCCUGCGUGCCGCAGUAAACACAAUAAGUAUUCCACCUGGGGAGUACGAUCGCAAGGUUGAAACUCAAAGGAAUUGACGGGGGCCCGCACAAGCGGUGGAUUAUGUGGUUUAAUUCGAAGCAACGCGAAGAACCUUACCAGGGUUUGACAUCCUGCUAACGAAGUAGAGAUACAUUAGGUGCCCUUCGGGGAAAGCAGAGACAGGUGGUGCAUGGUUGUCGUCAGCUCGUGUCGUGAGAUGUUGGGUUAAGUCCCGCAACGAGCGCAACCCCUAUUGUUAGUUGCUACGCAAGAGCACUCUAGCGAGACUGCCGUUGACAAAACGGAGGAAGGUGGGGACGACGUCAAAUCAUCAUGCCCCUUAUGUCCUGGGCUACACACGUAAUACAAUGGCGGUCAACAGAGGGAAGCAAAGCCGCGAGGCAGAGCAAACCCCCAAAAGCCGUCCCAGUUCGGAUUGUAGGCUGCAACUCGCCUGCAUGAAGUCGGAAUCGCUAGUAAUCGCGGAUCAGCAUGCCGCGGUGAAUACGUUCCCGGGUCUUGUACACACCGCCCGUCAAACAAUGGGAGUGGUGUUUACCAGAAGUCGUUAGCCUAACCGCAAGGAGGGCGGCGACCACGGUGAGCACCGUGACUAAUGUUAAGUCGUAACAAGGUAGCCGUACCGGAAGGUGCGGCUG
rnacentral:rRNA from 1 species